UUUUAUUGAUGUACAGAGUAAGAGUGUGGAAGGUACGUGGAGUGAGUGGAGAGGCAAGAAAGGGAAAGAGAGAAGAGAGUAGGAGGUUAGGCAGGGGGAGGAAAGAGGCACCAUUUAGAGGAGGUUGAGGUCGUGGAGAGGAGGAUGAGAGGAGAACAGGAUGAGGAGGAGAGGAUAAUGGUCCCCAUGAUUCAACACAGGGUCGUGACGCAAGAACACAGGAGUGCCCCCAGGGAAGCAGUGGACGAUGACCUCUGUUGUGUGGAGUUUGGCAGGCCUGGACCCAGGACGGGGAUUGGAAUCGGGACUGGGAAAUGGUGCCUGAAAACAAGAGAAAUAUGUUUUCUCAUGGAUUUCUGAUGGUAUCGUGCCAAGAGGGUUCCUCAUCUCUGCAGACAAGUUCACGACCUCGGUCACUCAAGAUGACCUCAGGGAACAACACCGUCUUUGAAGAAGUAGGAGGUAAUGAUCUCCCGCAGACGGAUUGCCUCUCUUGCUGCAUUGUUGGACCCCAUCCUUGAAACAUCAUGCAGAGCAGCAGACUUCUCCUCUGGCACACAGCGGCGAUCUACAGAUCCCCCUCCUGGUCCUCAUGUCCAUCCUCAUGAAGUUAUGCAGGACACAGAUGGCCCUGGUUACCCAACCUUGCAGUGCCCUACACGGUAACUGUAGGCAGGAAUCUCCAGUUACAAGGUAUCUGUAGGAAUAUGGAAGAUAAUGUAAUUAUUGGACUUUUAUAUCACCAGGUCAUUGUGGAUUACUAAAGUAUUCUAUCCCUUAUAUCAAAUAAUGAUAACAUUGGAUUGAUAGAUCCAUAAGAAACAGACUUCCUUCCUUAUACACAAAUUAGACCACACUGAAUAUUAUGUUAUUAUUAUCUCCGUCCUCACUGCUAGGGACUGGAAGUACACAAAAGUACCUGCCCUAUCCAGAAUAGCCUAACGUUACUCUUGUUGGA